AUUAAACUUUACAACUCCUCCCUUGGAGGGUCAGACACCCUGAGCCAAUAGGCUGGUCCUGGACUUAUUUCCUGGCAUAAUUUACAUAUUACUUGUUGACUAUUUAUGAUUUUAUUACUAUUUAUUAUUUAUGGAGCAACUGUAACGAAAAUCCAAUUUCCCCCGGGAUCAAAAAGGUAUGACUAUGACUAUGAGGUAGGACUGAUUAGAGAUAAAGGUGGGAAUAUAUGCCUGGAGGCUGUGGCAGUGGGCGAGAUCCGCAAUGAAUAUUUCUCUUUGGUAUUCACCAGUGAGAAGGAACAAUGAUGGUGAGGACAAUAUGAGUGAGGGUGAUGUUCUGGAGCAUGUUAAUAUUAAGGGAGAGGAAGUGUUAGAGUUACUAAAAUACAUUAGGACGGAUAAGUCUCCGGGGCCAGAUGGAAUAUUCCCCAGGCUGCUCCACGAGGCGAGGGAAGAGAUUGCUGAGACCCUGGCUAGGAACUUUAUGUCCUUGUUGUCUACGGGAAUGGUACCGGAGGAUUGGAGGGAGGCAAAUGUUGUCCCCUUGUUCAAAAAAGGUAGUAGGGAUAGUCUGGGUAAUAAUAGACCAGUGAGCCUUACAUCUGUGGUGGGAAAGCUGUUGGAAAAGAUUCUUAGAGAUAGGAUCUAUGGGCAUGUAGAGAAUCAUGGUCUGACCAGGGACAGUCAGCCUGGUUUUGUGAAGGGCAGAUCGUGUCGAACAAGCCUGAUAGAGUUCUUUUAGGAGGUGACCAGGCAUGUAGAUGAGGGUAGUGCAAUGGAUGUGAUCUACAUGGAUUUUAGUAAGGCAUUUGACAAGGUUCCACAUGGUAGGCUUAUUCAGAAAGUCAGAAGGCAUGGGACCCAGGAAAGUUUGGCCAGGUGGAUUCAGAAUUGGCUUGCUGAAGAAGGCAGAGGGUGGUGGUGGAGGGAGUACAUUCGGAUUGGAGGAUUGUGACUGGUGGUGUCCCACAAGGAUCUGUUCUGGGACCUCUACUUUUCGUGAUUUUUAUUAACGACCUGGAUGUGGGGAUAGAAAGAUGGGUUGGCAAGUUUGCAGAUGACACAAAGAUCGGUGGUGUUGUAGAUAGUGUAGAGGAUUGUCGAAGAUUGCAGAGAGACAUUGAUAGGAUGCAGAAGUGGGCUGAGAAGUGGCAGAUGGAGUUCAACCCGGAGAAGUGUGAGGCGGUACACUUAGGAAGGACAAACUCCAAGGCAGAGUACAAAGUAAAUGGCAGGAUACUUGGUAGUGUGGAGGAGCAGAGGGAUCUGGGGGUACAUGUCCACAGAUCCCUGAAAGUUGCCUCACAGGUGGAUAAGGUAGUUAAGAAAGCUUAUGGGGUGUUAGCUUUCAUAAGUCGAGGGAUAUAGUUUAAGAGUCGCGAUGUAAUGAUGCAGUUCUAUAAAACUCUGGUUAUGCCACACUUGGAGUACUGUGUCCAGUUCUGGUCGCCUCACUAAGGGAAGGAUGUGGAAACAUUGGAAAGUGUACAGAGGAGAUUUACCAGGAUGCUGCCUGGUUUAUAGAGUAUGCAUUAUGAUAGAGAUUAAGGGAGCUAGGGCUAUACUCUUUGGAGAGAAAGAGGAUGAGAGGAGACAUGAUAGAGGUAUACAAGAUAUUAAGAGGAAUAGAUAGAAUGGACAGCCAGCACCUCUUCCCCAGGGCACCACCGCUCAAUGCAAGGGGACAUAGCUUUAACGUACGGGGUGGGAAGUUCAAGGGGGAUAUUAGAGGAAGGUUUUUUACUCAGAGAGUGGUUGGUGCGUGGAAUACCCUCCCUGAGUCAGCGGUGGAGACAGAUACACUAGUGAAACUUAAGAGACUACUAGAUAGGUAUAUGGAGGAAUUUACGGUAGUGGGUUAUAUGGGAGGCAGGGUUCGAGGGUGAGCACAACAAUGUGGGCUGAAGGGCCUGUACUGUGCUAUACUAUUCUAUGUUCUAUGUACUUAUUAACUUUUUUUUUGUAUUUGCACAGUUUGUCUUCUUUCGCACAUUCAUUAAUUGUUGGUCUUAGUGAGUAGUUUUUCAUUGAUUCUGUUGUUCAGCUGUGAAUGCCUGCAAGAAAAUAAAUCUGAAGGUAAUAUUUGGUGACAUACAAGUACUUUGAAACUAAAUUUACUUUGAACUUUCAACUUCUUAAAGGAAGAAGAUGCUGCUGAAAUCUUAGCAAUGGAAGGUGUAAAUUGAAAUUCUGUUUGGGCUAAAAAUGGAUAGAGAGAGAAAAUAGGAAUUGCAUUCACAAUGGAUAAAGCACCAUGCGCAGAUUUGAUGGGCUUCACGUUGAUGAGGAAAGUAAGGGAGGGAAUUGCAAAGGUAUUAGCUACAAUCUACCGGAGAUCAGUAGGUUUAGGGGAAAUGUCUCGCAUUGGAAAACAGCAAUUGUUCAAAUAAAGAUAAAUCCUAUACUGUCCUCAACUGCUUUCUGUACGGAGCUUGCACAUUCUUUCUGUUUACUCUCAAGUACUCUGCUUUCCUCCCAUAUUCCAAAUAUCAAGCUGAUUGGCCAGUUAAAUUUCUACUGUAAAUUUACACCAGUGUAUCAGAAAGUGGUAGAAUCUGGAAAGAAAAUUUAGACAGUGGGGAGAGAACGAUGAGAGUGCAGGGAGAAUAAUGAAAUGGGGCUCUAUGAUGUAAAUGAGUGGUUGAUGGUCAGUGUGGAGUUGGAGGCCUAUUCCCCUCCUGUAUGUUUUUGUGACUCUACAUCUUUAUGAGUCAAUGAAGGAGAUGUGGUAUAUGUUAAGUCCCAAUAUGUCUUUGAUAAAAAGUCACAAUAUCUAUAUCAUACAGAAUGAAGGCCAUGGAAUAAAGAGGCCAAGAGAGAAUGCUAGCUAAGUAACCAGAAAGAGAGCGCGUUCAUUAAUACAAUGAAGGUCAAGAGGUUUGUGUUUCUGAGGUCCAAGGUGGUCAGACCCAGCUGAUCUCCUGAUGCUUGGGAUAUCAGCAGCCAUGAAGACAAGCACUCGCAAGAUCAAAAUUCUGCAGAUGCUGGGAGUCUGAAACAAAGGAAGAAAACACUGGGAACACUUAGCAGAACACGAUAUAAAGGACAUAAAAUGAACAAUAAUUGUACUGAGAUCAACUGUCAGAGUCAACAGAGUGGUUAAAAGACUUGCCCUUUGAUGAAAAUGGAAAAUGUUGGAAACACACAGUGGUCAGGCAACACCUCUGAAAAGAGAAACAUUAAAUGUGCCAGGUUAAAGACAACCAAAACUAAAUGUUACUCUUUUGUUACUCAGAAGGAUAUCAAAUUAUGAAACACCCACUUAGAAAUAAUGACAGAAGCAAACAUCCAUCUGUCAUUUUAAAAGAGGUAGUAGAAGUGCAUUUAGAAAAGUAUAGGGUAGUAAUGGGACAAAACAGAUUGUUCUUUUAUUGAAUAAGUCCAAGGGAUGAGCAGUUAUGAGGGUCCUGCUGUGCAGUUAUUGUAGAGUCACACAAGCCCUGUAAUAAAAGGCGAAUCAUUGGAGCUGUAUUUCCAGAGAUUAUCUGACUUAUCGGAAAGAAUUACAAAAGGUGAAUGGGGAAUGUCCCAAAGCAGCUGCACCAUUGUGCCUAUCUGAUCAGCCUGUUCAUUGGCCUGCCACAAAUUAGCACAGAAGAUACAGAAGAUUCCUGAGUGCUGCCUCACUGCGGGCACUAGUUGAC